UAUAAACAUUCCUCCGUUCAGAAACUUAGCGACUAGCUAGGGUUUACUCCCCAUUCUCAACUUUUUCUCAAUCUUCAUCAUUUUUUAUCUUUGUUCCACGAUUUGAUUGAAAUUUCUUCUUGAUUUCUUGGUUCAGCGUCACGAUUUACGUUAAUAACUCUUCUUCUCUGAUUCUCGUGGUUCCAUGAGUUUUCGAUUUAGUGUUUUUGUUUUGGAAAUUUUAUAUUUUUGUUUUUUGACGUUGUGGUAUUAAGCGAUUGAGUUAUUUUGAUGGAGAGGUCGAAUCUUUAAGAUUUUUGGAAAGAAAAUCUCGUGUAUUCACUCCAGAUCCAGUAUGGUUCAAGGAGACUUAGCAUUAACUUGAAAUUUGGUGAAAUUUUUAAAGGAACAUUUGAAGAAAAAAUAUUGUCAAAUUGGUGAUAACUUCAUCAAUGCUAUCUAUUGCGAUAAGAUGUUUUAUCAUUACGUGUGGCACAUUUGAGAACAGGGGGUGGUGCCAGAAGAUGAUAGUUGAAUCAACUCAUGAUUUAGCUUUCCUUCUGCUGCUGCUCUUACUCUUUCAUUUGCACGUGUAUGGGAUUUGGAGAUUUCUAUUUACAAGUCGAGAUGCAAGUUUGAAGAUCUUGAACAAGUUUUGACAAUUUGGUCAUCAUUUUGCUAGGGCAGUUUGGCAAAGUAUUUCAUUACUUAUAUACUUAGAGAUGUUAGUUCUUUAGGCAAAUGAGUUGUGUAAACAAUAUCGUGAUUAUAUUUUUUAAAAGAACUCGACAUGUAUGUGUGAUGCUAAUCUUUAGUUUUAAUUAAUACGAUUGAUG